rnacentral:rRNA from 1 species
UACGUAGGUGGCAAGCGUUGUCCGGAAUUAUUGGGCGUAAAGCGCGCGCAGGUGGUUUCUUAAGUCUGAUGUGAAAGCCCACGGCUCAACCGUGGAGGGUCAUUGGAAACUGGGGAACUUGAGUGCAGAAGAGGAAAGUGGAAUUCCAAGUGUAGCGGUGAAAUGCGUAGAGAUUUGGAGGAACACCAGUGGCGAAGGCG